rnacentral:rRNA from 1 species
AACGCGAAGAACCUUACCAGGUCUUGACAUCCCCCUGAAUAGUUUAGAGAUAAGCUAGGCCUUCGGGACAGGGGAGACAGGUGGUGCAUGGUUGUCGUCAGCUCGUGUCGUGAGAUGUUGGGUUAAGUCCCGCAACGAGCGCAACCCUUGAUGUUAGUUGCCAGCGAGUAAGGUCGGGCACUCUAACGUGACUGCCGGUGACAAACCGGAGGAAGGUGGGGAUGACGUCAAAUCAUCAUGCCCCUUAUGACCUGGGCUACACACGUACUACAAUGGCCGGUACAACGGGAAGCGAAGGAGCGAUCUGGAGCGAAUCCUUAGAAGCCGGUCUCAGUUCGGAUUGCAGGCUGCAACUCGCCUGCAUGAAGUCGGAAUUGCUAGUAAUCGCGGAUCAGCAUGCCGCGGUGAAUACGUUCCCGGGCCUUGUA